ensembl:lncRNA
AAUGCAUGCAGUAAUUGUAUUUUAAUUUCAGUAGCUAAAUAAGGAGGUACAUAUAUCAAUAUGUUGUGUUGAUUUGUUAUGCAUGCCUGCAUCCUGGGAGAAGGGGAGUGUGUACUUACGUUUUGCCCGGCGUGCUCGUGCUCAAAUCAUUUUGAUGCACUGAGAGAGGUAGGCACGCUUUUUCUGUCUUCAGAAAAUUUGAUUCUUUUAAGUACAAAGUCAUACACACAGUGUUUUGUUCAUGAAUAAUGAUGUAAUAUUUAGAGGUUACUCAUAAGUGGAUGGUAUUGUUAAGAUGCACUUGUAAUUGUACUUUUUAGGAUGAUAUCAACAUUCUGAAUUCAACAUGUGGUUAAUAGCUAGCUAAGGUAUUAGCAGGCUAUUGUAUGUGUGAACGAUGGCUAGCUCCUCGAAUGAUCCCAGUCCCUCCUAUUGUGCAUCUGUUGUAGAAAGAGGCGACGAUUCUCAGAACAGAUGUGCUCUACAAAUGUUUUAUUUCCUUUUGGAUGCAGAUGCAGGAUGCAGAGAGUCAGUUCUGCUUGAUUAAAACUACCUGAUCUCCAAAGUCCACGUUUAUAGUCUAUCAACCACACACAACGCAGAGUUACAGCGGUGCAGUAUAGCACCGGCUACAGUAGCAAUAUGUCUCUGCCAGCAGGCAGCCUGCUUGCUGAAGCACAUCGAUCAACAUUCCAUAUGGCAGUUGGGACAGAGUGCCCAGUAGGCUACACAACAACACAGCUGGAAAACAACUACCGUUCUAGUGGUAGUCCCUGUUCCCUUGCAUUCUUGUUUUACUUUUGUAAGUAAAACGGUGUUUGUUGGGGAGAAGAACUUCAAGAAAAGAUUUGCUUGCUAGCUAACGUUAGCAAAUUUAGCUGGCUAAUUUAAGAUAGCUAAUGUUAGCUCUCUGGCUAAUCCUAUUAUUUACCUGUUGUAGCCGUUAGUUGUAGCUAUCUUGCUAACAUUUUGAUAUCUAUUUAGUUAAUGACAAUAAGUGUGUGUGAGAGAUAUGAUCACAAUAACUUUAGAAAACAUUGUCAUGUCAACGUUGUCAUGCUAGCUGUGUGUGUGAAUGUGUAUAUGUGUUCUGUGAGAGAGAGAGCGGGGGAUUGAUGAGGAUCACAAUAAUGGAGAGAGGGAGAGAGAGUUAUAUGGUCUCUUUAGAAAUUAGGCUUAACGCCCUGUUUUAUGUCACACAUUCAUUUAUUCGUAUGUCUAAAAUUGGUGUUGUGCGCUAACGUCAUGUUGUAAAAUGUUCUACUUGUUGUAGAAAGAUGAUGCCACCUUCAAGUGCUAUCUGAGUUAUCGGAAGCCCCUAGUUCCCAGGGGGAAAUUUAAUUUGAUUGACCCUCCAAGUUAGAAUUACAAGUGACAAACUCAAAGAAAAUGUUGUUACCCGAGUUGUCAUUUCACCACUGACCUUUUGCCUUUUCAACAAAUAGUUUUUUAAUAAUUACACCCUUAACAAUAUGGAUAAUGUAGCUAUUCCGACUAUAUUCUUCAGGUCUUUUGGUUGAAUUGUUCCUACUUCAAAAGCACUUGAACACAAUCAUGUGAGACUUACCACUUCCCAGUUUCCUAUUGCCCACGAGUAUGUGAAUCUGUAUCAGAAUCAACCAAUAGGAAGCUCUACCAAAUAACUUGCGUUCAUUUUGGGAGAAUCACAAUUAGCACACUGCUCGCGUCCUCUCUCCUUCUCAACACCUAUCAGAGAAGGUCAGCAGGGAGAUACCUCUGGCUUUCGCAUCCAAUGGGUUUUGAGAAGGUGGCAAGGAGAAAGGACUCCUGGAGAAUGCAAUUGAUAUUCUCACUUUAUCUUGGAGGUCCUGAAUUUCUGACAUGACUUGAACGCAGCAUUGGUUUGUUUGUCUGAGGUCAAUAGGCCUUCCAUCUAGAUGCCAGUAGGGGGUGCUCUAUGAUACAUUUUGAUACUCUGCAUUUACACACUGAAAAUAAAUAUCCACAUAUUUAAAUAGUAAUCACAAUUCUUUAUUCUUUCAAAAGAAACAAACCUCACAGUGUCUAACUAGUAUACCAUAUGAACAACCCCUUAUCAAUAGAAUAGAAUGUGCUUGAUUUGUAAAUAAUGACCAGUAGUAUCUAAAUGGUCCUCUUUGUCUAAUUUAUUUAUGUUUCACUAUUUGCAUCUCUCAAAGAGGAGUUGGUUAAUGGGAAUAGUGUAAUCACCAGUGACAAGUCUAAGGAGGUAUAGCUACAGUCAGGUAAAUGAGAUUAUAAAGUGCAUCUGUCCAUAGAAAAGUUCAUCUAUGUAGAAUAGAUGGUAUAGUAGGGGAUUUUGUUAGUGUCCCAUCAUUACCCUGAAAGAGAUUCAAGGGAAAAUGUUAUUGACGUUAAGGAUACAAUCAAGAUCAUCAGUUCUAACAAUCCAAGCCAGAUGACUGAAGAGUUUUGCAUCGUCCAUUCUCAACAGGAUACAUGCCAUCAGGGGUUGGCCCUUCCUGUGUCCAUUAUAGCCCUUUAUAUCUCAAGUAGUAUACAAACUGCCUGACGAUCCCUAAUCAGGCCAUGUUCUCUUGAAGUAGUGUGGGACUAAAGGGUUCGAUCCUUCCAGGCUCCUGAUUCUGAAGGAAUCUAAUCUAGAAACAAGAUCUAAAUUCUGGAGCCUAUGCUGUGCCAGUGCAUUGCAAAGAUCUGUCUUUAACACAUUUCACUGUAAUGAUUAAAGAUAGAUAAAAUGAAAUCUUAGUCUGAUUUCCCUUCCACUUAUAUCUUCAAUCAAUAUAGUGAAAUGUGUUAAAAGGAUCUUUGCAAUUGACUAAGACCAAUUCACCAACCCUGAAUGACACGAGACAUAAUAUAGCCAUCUCCAUCCCCUGACAGAAAACAGCUUGUGAUUGGUACUAUGAUCUCAAUAGGAUCUUUACAUGACUCUGAGCUAUGAGGAUGGCCAUUCAAAGAGAUACGGUUCAUGCGUUUAGGGUAUAACAUAUUGUUGAUGACAGCGAUCAUCUGUAAUAUUAGCAUCUGAGCUAAUAUUACAUAGAAAUUAGUAUAAUAGAACAGUAUAAUGAUGGUGACAAGGAAAUGUACUGUAACAAAGGGAUGUUUAAUGAUUUCUUUGGACAAUGAAAUGUACAUGUCUGUAGUUGAUGUAUUACAAAUA